UUUUCAGCCCAAAAAGAUUUCCUCUUUCUCUCUCUCUCUCUCUCUCUCUCUCUAAAACCCUAACCAACUGUAAAGCGACCCUAAACCCCAUUGCUCUUCUCUUCGGUUUCUCCAGUUUGGAAUCCCGAAAAUCAGUCUGCUUCCCCCAGGAUUGAACACUCGGAGGUGUUCGUGUCACCUCAUUCAGGGAGAAGCUCAUUACAUAGGUGUUCUCGGGAGCUGAGGCUACAUCAACUUACGCGGCAGAUAUUUUCGGUUUCCUUAACCUAUUAUUGGAACAGGUAAAGUUUCUUUCCAUUGUCAGCGUCGUGUAUAUAUAUGUUUGUUACAGUCUCCGUUUAAAUGAUUGGACCUCUUGAAAGUGAUGUACGCAUGAAACUAUGCUGCUAAUUUAUUUUUAUUUUUUUUAAUUUAAGGAUGCUUGUAACUUCCGGUUUUCUGCUUGUACAGUGUUUAUCAUCUGGACUUUCAUGUUGUGGUUUCUAAGUGCAAAUUUCUCUUAAGAAAAAACGAAUGCUAGCUGUCCGAUAACAUUU
rnacentral:lncRNA from 1 species